AGCCAAAGAAUAAUGGAGAUAAGCUUCUAUAUCCAUAAAAUAUAGCAGAAGAAGCGAAGCAGAGAAGAUGGGAGAAGCAGGGCACUUGAUAUCAAAAACGCUGUCGUCUAGGCUGCCUUCAUCGAAGUUGGUUUCUCAUCCUUCCAGAAAUGUUACCGUUACUGUUACUGUUGCAAGAAGAAAAGACUUCACAAUGAAAACGAAGAAGAAUCCGAGGCGUUUGAUCACAAUAUCAACGGGAGAUAGUAAAUGGCAUGGAAAAUGGAACUGUGAUUACCUCAUCUCCCUUCGUGACUUAAAUUUGGAAGAUUUGAUCGAAGAAGACGAACAAAAAGAUGCUGAGGUUUCUGUCAACCUUAGCAUCCAAAAGUAGCAUGCAAGCUUCGGUUUCUCGGUGGACGGAAGGAUUGUCACAUCUUUUACUAGAAAGUGUAGCAACUGCUCUUCCCCAUACUGCAGACAGAUUGAUACCAGCUUUAAUGUGUGGGUGCUACCAUCCAACAACAAACACAAUGGCGACGAACUCCAACUUCCAGAAAUAGGCGGCGAUGACCCAUCUUUAAGUCUCUCAACUCGGACAUUAUCGAUAUGUGUAUGUAUAUAUAUGUAUAUAUGUGUCUUUAAACUAAGUUUGUAAAUGCUGCAUUGCAGGUCAUCUAUGUGAAACCAGGAUCUGAAGCCAAUCUUGAUUCAUUAGUCCAAGACACCAUCAGGCUCACAACUUCAGUUAAAGAUAGUUGCUCGGAGUCUUGUGAGAAAUCUGAACCCAAAUUGCACUAUAUCGGUCGACAGAAUGCAGCUUCUAUCGACAAAAGGUGGUCUAGACUGUUGGAGCUGAAGAGAGUUAUUUCAUAAGAAAUGCAUACCAUGAGUUAUUCUCAUAGUAUUAUUAUUCCGAUGAAAUAGAUUAAUUAGUUUGUAAAAUAAUAAUACAAACAAUUAAAAAAUUAUAUAGUUUUGUAGUCUGUA